rnacentral:rRNA from 1 species
CUGGGUUUGACAUGCACGUAGUAGUGAAGUGAAAGCGGAACGACCCUUCGGGGAGCGUGCACAGGUGCUGCAUGGCUGUCGUCAGCUCGUGUCGUGAGAUGUUGGGUUAAGUCCCGCAACGAGCGCAACCCUCGCCGUUAGUUACAAGUGUCUAACGGGACUGCUGGUAUCAAACCGGAGGAAGGUGGGGAUGACGUCAAGUCAGCAUGGCCUUUAUGUCCAGGGCUACACACACGCUACAAUGGUCGGUACAAUGGGCAGCCAAACCGCGAGGUGGAGCGAAUCCUUAAAGCCGGCCUCAGUUCAGAUUGCAGUCUGCAACUCGACUGCAUGAAGGCGGAGUUGCUAGUAACCGCGCGUCAGCCAUAGUGCGGUGAAUACGUUCCC